rnacentral:rRNA from 1 species
AGCGGAGGAAAAGAAACCAACAGGGAUUGUCUUAGUAACGGCGAGUGAAGCGACAAAAGCUCAAAUUUGAAAUCUGGCACCUUCGGUGUCCGAGUUGUAAUUUGAAGAAGGUAACUUUGGAGUUGGCUCUUGUCUAUGUUCCUUGGAACAGGACGUCACAGAGGGUGAGAAUCCCGUGCGAUGAGAUGUCCAACUCUAUGUAAAGUGCUUUCGAAGAGUCGAGUUGUUUGGGAAUGCAGCUCUAAGUGGGUGGUAAAUUCCAUCUAAAGCUAAAUAUUGGCGAGAGACCGAUAGCGAACAAGUACAGUGAUGGAAAGAUGAAAAGAACUUUGAAAAGAGAGUGAAAAAGUACGUGAAAUUGUUGAAAGGGAAGGGUUUGAGAUCAGACUUGGUAUUUUGUAUGUCUUGCUUUCGGGUGGGGCCUCUGCAGUUUACUGGGCCAGCAUCGGUUUGGACGGUAGGAUAAUGACAUUGGAAUGUGGCACUACUUCGGUGGUGUGUUAUAGACUUUGUUGAUACUACCUGUCUAGACCGAGGACUGCGUCUUUGACUAGGAUGCUGGCAUAAUGAUCCUAAACCGCCCGUCUU